rnacentral:rRNA from 1 species
GACGUAGGGCGCGAGCUUUGUCCGGAUUUAUUGGGCGUAAAGAGCUCGUAGGCGGCUCGUUGCGUCGGCUGUGAAAACCCGCAGCUCAACUGUGGGCUUGCAGCCGAUACGGGCGGGCUGGGAUUCGGUAGGGGAGACUGGAAUUCCUGGUGUAGCGGUGAAAUGCGCAGAUAUCAGGAGGAACACCGGUGGCGAAGGCGGGUCUCUGGGCCGAUAUCGACGCUGAGGAGCGAAAGCGUGGGGAGCGAACAGG